UGGCCUAUAGCUUAACGGCAGAGCGAUUGGUUGUUACCCAAUUAGGUGUAGGUUCGAAUCCUACUAGGUCAGC
rnacentral:tRNA from 1 species